UACGUAGGGUGCAAGCGUUGUCGGAAUUAUUGGGCGUAAAGAGCUCGUAGGCGGUCAGUCGCGUCUGCUGUGAAAACUCGGGGCUUAAUUCCGGGCCUGCAGUGGGUACGGGCUGACUAGAGUGCGGUAGGGGAGACUGGAAUUCCUGGUGUAGCGGUGAAAUGCGCAGAUAUCAGGAGGAACACCGGUGGCGAAGGCGGGUCUCUGGGCCGUAACUGACGCUGAGGAGCGAAAGCGUGGGGAGCGAACAGG
rnacentral:rRNA from 1 species